rnacentral:pre_miRNA from 1 species
GUAAAGAUAUUAAUUAGUGGUUAAUCGACCAAGUGGGUACUACAUACUUGCGUAUCUAAUUAAGAUAUUGAAGAGUAUGUAGUAUCCACUUGGUCGAUUAACCACUUUUAUAUAUAUUAUCUUGUUAACG